rnacentral:rRNA from 1 species
UACGAAGGGGGCUAGCGUUGUUCGGAAUCACUGGGCGUAAAGCGCACGUAGGCGGAUCUUUAAGUCAGAGGUGAGAUCCCAAGGCUCAACCUUGGAACUGCCUUUGAUACUGGGGAUCUUGAGUCCGGGAGAGGUGAGUGGAACUGCGAGUGUAGAGGUGAAAUUCGUAGAUAUUCGCAAGAACACCAGUGGCGAAGGCGGCUCACUGGCCCGGUACUGACGCUGAGGUGCGAAAGCGUGGGGAGCAAACAGG